rnacentral:ncRNA from 1 species
UGCGCAGCGCGUGACGCAUCACCACGCGGCCAAAGCUGGCGCCCUUCAGCCGGGCGGUGCGGAUAUAUUGCGCGGUCAUCACCUCGGACAUGCUGGCACGGGUCAUGCGGGCGAUAUAACCCAUGCCGUAAAGGGCGAUGGUCAACACCGGCAGGAAGAAAUUCUCGAAGGUGAUGC